CCUCAUUCCCUCUCGACUACUCUCUCUUCACUCCCUCGCGACCACCCCGCUCGUCCGCUCUCUCUCCCUCGCGACUGCUUCUCGCUUUCGGCAGCAUACCUCUCUCUUAACAACUAGGUACCCUCUCCUCUCCCUUUCUCUAGCUCGCGACUGGUGUAUCUAGCAUGCCAAUGAGCUUUCGCCGGAGAUUUUCUUCUCGAUUUGCUCUUUAGAUGAGGGCUAUGUGAACGACAUCAAGUUUGACUACAAGGAAUAUGCGAGGCAAAGAUUUCAGCAAUACCAGCUAAGAAAGUCUGCUCUCUUGGGCUCAGGCCGUGUUUGCAGUAGAUAGAUAUAGAUAGACAAGAAGAAACUUGACCGAACAAGGCUGCCAUAUGAUGAUAGCUUCACCAGAGUCUUGCAUAUAAGUCGAUGUUGGAAAUGUACAUUUGUGCUACUUAUAGAAUGGAUAUAGAUUGUAGGUAGAAAAGCAUCGAGUUUUCGCGGGUGAUGUAUUUGUAAUGACUUCUAAUAUAAGAGCAAUGGCUUUUGCUAGUUUGUUUAUGCUAA